AUGAUGAAAAAAUUAGACUUAUUCAUGAGCACAUGUCCACUCAGGAUACAAACUUUGACGCCUCUACAAUUUUUUGCUACUACACAUUUCCAGUCAAUCCACGAUGAAAUUAGCUCCAAUAAUGAUGCUACCCAAAUCAAAAUUAACAACAUGGUUAACACCUCUACACACAAUCAUGAGGAGUCUUCCCAAUUCUACCAAGAAAUGUGUGACUCUGUGGAGAGGGGUAUGAGAACUUAUCAAAGAUUCUAUAGAGGUCCUAGGGGUCAUUGA